CCUACGGGUGGCUGCAGUGGGGAAUAUUGGACAAUGGGGGCAACCCUGAUCCAGCCAUGCCGCGUGUGUGAAGAAGGCCCUCGGGUUGUAAAGCACUUUCAGUGAGGAAGAACGCCUGGUGGUUAAUACCCAUCAGGAAAGACAUCACUCACAGAAGAAGCACCGGCUAACUCCGUGCCAGCAGCCGCGGUAAUACGGAGGGUGCGAGCGUUAAUCGGAAUUACUGGGCGUAAAGCGCGCGUAGGUGGCUUGAUAAGCCGGUUGUGAAAGCCCCGGGCUCAACCUGGGAACGGCAUCCGGAACUGUCAAGCUAGAGUGCAGGAGAGGAAGGUAGAAUUCCCGGUGUAGCGGUGAAAGGCGUAGAGAUCGGGAGGAAUACCAGUGGCGAAGGCGGCCUUCUGGACUGACACUGACACUGAGGUGCGAAAGCGUGGGUAGAAAACAGGAUUAGAUACCCUUGUAGUC
rnacentral:rRNA from 1 species